rnacentral:rRNA from 1 species
AUGCCGUCUCUGCAGCUGCUGCAGUUGACGGACCGCGGACAGGUGCUUCUGGCUUCCAAGAGGAGGACUCUCGCUGUUGUUUCUGGCGCGCUGAUUGCUGGUGGAGCUUUGGCCUAUGCCCGGUCAAGCCAGAGCCAGCGGAGGAGGCGUUCGGAGGCAAAUUAUGGCAGCGAAGCCAGUGAAUUGGCCACCAAAGGGGAUGGGUUGAGUCAGAAUGGUAGAUUGGCUGCAACAAAGCGUAAAAUGAGUGGGCUUAAAUCUUUGCAUUUCCUAACUGCUAUCCUGCUGAAGAAGAUUGGUCCCAAUGGCACACGCUUCCUUCUAGGCUUGGUAUUAACAGCGGUGCUGCGUACUGCUGUGGGGCAUAGAUUGGCAAAAGUUCAAGGCUUUUUGUUUAAAGCAGCGUUUCUUCGGCGUGUCCCAACAUUUACACGCUUGAUCAUAGAAAACCUUAUAUUUUGUUUCCUCCAAUCCACAUUAUAUCAAACAUCAAAAUACUUGACAGGGUCUUUGAGUUUGCGUUUCAAGAAAAUUUUAACCGAUAUCGUUCAUGCUGAUUACUUUGAGAAUAUGGUUUAUUACAAAAUGUCACAUGUGGAUCAUCGAGUAUCAAAUCCAGAGCAAAGGAUUGCUAGUGAUAUCCCAAAGUUCUCUUCUGAACUAAGUGAGCUUGUACAGGAUGAUCUGGCUGCGGUUGCAGAAGGGCUAAUAUACACCUGGCGUCUCUGUUCGUAUGCUAGUCCAAAAUACGUGGUCUGGAUUAUGCAUAUGUACUAG